GGGCCUCAGCUCAUAGUUCUGGCUCUGCCACUGGCUGGCUCCAUGUCAAGGAUCAAGAGCCUUAAAAUGUUCAUACCUUUGAGACAAUCAUUUCACUUCUGCGAGUCUCUCAUAAUCAGAUCCAGAUGAGGCCUCCUGCGCAAAGGUGUCACCACUGUGUCAUUCAUACAGAAAAUGUUUGAAAACAACCUAAGUGUAUGAUAAUAGGGGAGUAGUUAGGUGAACUAUGGAAUAUCAACUUAUAAAUGGCUUUCUAGUAAUUGAAAGUUAUGUUUACAAACAGUUUGAAGUAACAUGAAAAAAAAAAAAACAUAUUCUAAGGUUAAGCGUGGCAGGGCGCAGUGGUUCAUGCCUGUAAUCCCAACACUUUGGGAGGCUGAGGUGGACGAAUCACCUGAGCUUAGGAGUUUGAGACGCCCCGGCCAACAUGGUGAAACCCCAUCUCUACUAAAAAUACAAAAAAAUUUGCCGGGCGUGGUGGCGAACACCUCUAAGCCCAGCUACUUGGGAGGCUGAGGCAGGAAAAUCGCUUGAACCUGGGAGGCAUAGGUUGCUGUGAGCUGAGAUGGCGCCAUUGCACUCCAGCCUGGGUGAUGGAGCGAGACUCCGUCUCAAUAAAAAAAUAAAAAUAAAUAAAGUUAAGUGUAAAACAGAAUGCAAAAUUUCCCACUAUGACAUCAGUGAUGUAAAGCAAAAUGUGUAGAAAAAAGACCAGAAAAAGACCCACCACCAUCUUAGCAAAAAAACCACUUCUUUUUUUUUUUUUUUUUUUUUUGAGACAGAGUCUCGCUCUGUCACCCAGUGCACUGGCACAGCAAUCCCUCUCUGCCGGGUUCGAGCGAUUCUCGUGCCUCAGCCUCCCAAGCAGUUGGGAUUACGGGUGUGCGCCACAUGUCUAGCUAAUUUUUGUAUUUCUAAUAGGGACGGAGUUUUACCAUGUCGGCCAGGCUGGUCUCAAACUGGGAUGACAGGCGUGAGCCACCACAUCUGGCCGAAACUCACUUCUUUCUGCAUGUUUACAUUUCCAAUUUUUCUGCUUUAUUACUUUACAAAGGAAAAUAUAAAGUCAACUUUAUUUUUUAAACAAACUAUAAGCUGGAUCAGAAGAUUUCCUAUUAUAAAGAUGUCAGUUCUCCUCAACUUGAUGUAGAAAUUCAGUGAAAUUAUGAUUUAAAAUCCCGUGUGUGUGUGUGUAUGUGUGUGUGUGUGUGAGAGAGAGAGAGAGAGUGUGUGUCAAGAUGAUUCUAAAAUUUGUUUAGAAAUGCAAAAAAAUCAAGAAUAUUCAAGUCAAAGUUGAGAAUGAAGAACAAGCUAGAGGACUUGUUCUCUGAACAAGAUGUCACUAGAUGACAAAUAAAAGUUGAAAUUAAAAAAAGAAAAAAAAAUGCUGAGCAUAGUGGCUCCCCGCACUUUGGGCGGCUGAGGUGAGCAGAUCGCUGGCAUCCAGG
rnacentral:lncRNA from 1 species